rnacentral:lncRNA from 1 species
AUUUAUUGAAUACAGUUUUCUGUGGAAAACUCUUAGCCUUUUUUGGUUAAAACUUAGUUUUUCUUUCUAGGAACUUACAAUUUCCCUGGGAAACUAUGGCAUGCACACAUAUUAGUAAUAAUUAAUAUUUUUAUUGAUGCUUAACAAUAAUGCAUGCACUGUUGCAUUUAUGAGCUCAUUUAACCUUUACAAUAACAACCCUGGAAAGCAGGUAUUAUUAUUCAUAUUUUAUAGAAAGUAAAACUGAAACUUCUAGAGAGAGUAAUAAGUAGUGAGGUAUCAUAGUAGGAAUUCAAUCCGAGAGCAAACCCAGGGACUCUUAACCGAGAGCCUGUGGUCCUAACCAGCUCACCUAUAGGAAAAAUUACUCUGAUUUCUGGUAGCACAGAAAUACCAGAAGACAGAUGUAGGCAACACAUUCUGUUGAAUUCACAGGAUAGAAGAGCCUAUGUUUCAGAGAAGCAAAGGAAGGCUUUGUAAGAGAAGAAUGAAGCCAUGUUUCUAACAUGUCAGUUUGCAGUGAUACCAGAAUUCCAGGACUGUCAAAUCUAAUGUCACAUUUCUUCUGUCAAUCCUUUCCCAUCCUCCUUGGCCUUUCCAAAUCUUAUUUAUUCUGAAACCUCAACCAAGCAUCAUUCCCUCCAGGAAACUUUACCUGACUUCUAGCGACUCAGUCAGUCACCUCUUCUAUAUGCAUCCAUAACAUAUAUCUUUACAAUUAUAUCCUGUAAAUAGUGGCUAUUUUUUCUGCUUACAGUCACUAGAUUGUGACCCCAUAAGUGCAGGGGCCAUGUCUGUUUUAUUAAUCAUUUUACUCACAAUAUCUUAUAUUGUACCUGGCACAGAGUAAGCUGUCAGUCUGUGUGUAUUGAAUGAAUGUGGAAUGAGCAUCUCCAGCAGAGAAAACCACACUGAGGCAAAUCUGGCUGAAGACAAAAGGUUUGCAGGAAAAUAUUUUGCAACUUCACCAAUGUCAAAAUAUUCUGGUCCCUUCCAGGAUUUGAUUGCAAAAAUAUAGAUGAUCAAAAUAAUUAGAUUAGAAGAGAAGCCAAAGCAAACAUGUUUGGUGUUGUAUAAAAGAGAAACAAAAAUGAAAUGUAUGAAUGUGUUUAAUCUUUUAAAAAAGGAAAGGAAAUUAUCACCCCACCUCACUAUAACCACAACCACUGAUUUUGAAUAGAUAGUGAUAAUUGUAUGCUCAGUGUAGUUGUUUGCAUGUGUGCAUAUGUACAUAUGUGUACACACACAUAUGCAUGUGGUUAUGUGUAUGUAUAUUCAUCAAUGAAAAGUUGUAAUUGAUCAUCUUGUAGACAAUCAGAAAUAGGUAUUUUGUCCUAGACUAUCUCACACUCACAGGAAUAACAUUGGCUCUUUCAACAUAACUUUUUGAUUACUGUGGCUCCAGCAAGUCUAGCGUUUGACCUCUAUCUGCAUGCUUUUUGAGGAAAAAGAUUUUUGGUUAUGACAGAUCAAUAUAUGUACCUGAAACAUUUUUUGAAUAAUCUAAGUAUUAAACUAUGUACCAAGAAGAAGGAGACAGAAAGUGUUAUGGCAGAGUCAAGACAUGGCAGGGCAGAGUGAGCUGGAAUUAUUACAGAAGGCUUUGUGGGCAGAAGAAUAGGGAUCAUGAGUGAUUUAGGGAGCAAUUUCAGUGAGACAGAGUGCAAUAUACUGAAUGUUAUGAAGUAGGUAGAAGAUGUGGGUGUGGAUCACUUUUGGAAAUGAUGGUAAAUAUGGGAAUAGAAGGCAAGAACAAGGACAGCAUUUGGUGGCACAAAGAUCCUGGCAGGGUGCUGGCCCUAACAUUUUUUUUUUUUAGCACAUGCUAAAAUAAACUUUUUUUGACAGUUGGAGACAAGAUGGUGGAAGAAUAGGGAGAUGUGCUCACCCUCUCCCACAAACACCCACCCAAAAAACACAUCUACACAUAUAACGACUCACACAGAAUAGCAACUGAAUGCUGGCAGAAGAACUUAAACUUCCAAAAAUGGCAAGAAUCUCUUGACAUAACUGGAUAAAAAGAAAAGAGGAGAGAGAGAGAGAAGGGGAAUCAGGAUGGGACUAGCACUCCUCAGAGGGAGCUGUGAAGAGGAAAGGGAACCUACACCCCACAAGCCAGCUAACGGAUGGAAAGAUCAGCUGAGUCGGAGGGUUCUCCAAGACACCAAGAAAAGCACGGUAGUAGGUUUGAGAAGUGAAAAAGCAGAGUGAGAGCUGCACAGAUUAUCUGAACCACAGGCACAGACACCAAAGACUGAGACACUCAGGUGGUGGCUGGGCACCGAGACCUAGGCUAUGGAGGUCAGUCCCUGGAAGCAGGAUGGGGUUGGCAGUGUGGAGACAGCCUAAGGGACUAGGAAGUGGUGUACUGUGGGCAGAACAGCAAUAUGGUAAGGGCUGGGGAGUGGAAAGCCACAACAGAGGGAAACGGGGAGAAGGUUCAGACCCACAGGAGAGAUAAGGAGCCAUUUCUGGGGAGGGGCGGGAGGAGGGGUGGACCACCAUAGAAUACUCCUUGUGCCCCAAGGUGCCUGCUUCCCCGCUAGCUAACAGAGAGCAGUGCAUUCCCAGCACAACCCUCCACUCCAUGCUGUGCGCCGGCCUGGCCAGAAGCCACCUGCCAUCCAGGGAAGACAGGUCCCACCACCCACAGGAAGGCAACCACUGCCAUGGCAUUCCUCGGCCAGGACUGCCCGCCCAUGGGAAGUGCCCCACUGCCUCGGCAUGGUCUGGCAAGCCCCUCCCAGUAUAGGGAAGUGCACCGCCACGACAGUAUGCACCGGCCAGCUCCACCCAUCCUUGGAAAGUGCCCUGCUGCCACGAAGAGACCAGGCCAGCCCCACCCACCCUUGGGAAGUUCCCCUCUGUGUGGGCACACCCCAGCAAGCCCUGCCCAGCCACAGGAAGUGCACUUCCACUGUGGUGCACAUCUACAAGCCCUGCCAGGCCUCAGGAAGAGCCCUGCUGCCACAGAGUGAUCCAGGUAGCACUGCCUGCCCUUGGGAAGUGCCCUGCAGCCAUGGCAUGCCCCGGCGAGACCUGCCCAGACACAGGAACGGCAUGCCCCGGACUGUGCUAAACUACAGUUUGGCUUCCCCAAAUUCAUAGAAAAAGAAAAACACAAGCAAGAUGAAGAAGCUCAGAAACCAUUCCCAGUUAAAGCAACAUGAGAAUUCACCUAAAGCAGUGAACAAUGAAAAAGACCUCUGCAGUCUGACAGACUUGGAGUUCAAAAGGGAGAUAGUAAAAAUACUGAAGGAAUUAAGAGAAGAUAUGAACAGUAAUACAGACUCCCUCAGAAAGAAACUAGAAAAUAUAAAGAGGAGCCAAGAAAAACUAGAAAAUUCAUUUCCAGAGUUACAAACUGAGCUAAAGGCAGUAAAAACCAGAAUGAAUAAUGCAGAGAAACGAAUUAGUGACUUGAAAGAUAGAAUGAUGGAAAUCACCCAAACAGGACAGCAGACACAAAACCAAAUGAAAAAACAUGAAAGCAAUAUAAUAGACCUGUGGGGUAAUAUAAAGCGGGCCAAUCUACACAUAAUAGGAAUUCC